CUGGGGUGAAGUCGUAACAAGGUAACCGUAGGGGAACCUGCGGUUGGAUCACCUCCUUU
rnacentral:rRNA from 1 species